UGAAAGAAUUCUUAGGGCAAAACACAACCC
rnacentral:piRNA from 1 species